AGCUACUUAAUGUAUUAAUUUUUUUUUUUUUCCAAAUAAUAAGUUGUAUUACUUAUGCAACUUAAUAAAACAUCAAUAAUAAAAGAAAGAUGUGAAAAUCACUCUCUCAGACUUCCGUUAAAUGACAAAUCAAAUGACCGUAUUAACCUUGAUAAUUUACAAAAUUGACAAUUAAUUGCUUCUCCUCUACCUGUCUCCUUUGAAACUCAAAUCCUAUUUCCCCUUUCUCUUUCUCAUGGCAUAGAUGUUGUUAAUGCCCACUGGAAUUAGCUAACCGAAAUUUGACCAAGCACCGUCUCCCUCAGACUUCAAACUUCCAUACACCGAAAUCAAAAGCGCAACAAUAGCCAUUCCCUGCAAAUUUUCAAGAAUUAGAUUUUCAGAAAAUCAAACCUCGUUUUGGUCCCAUAGAUCCUUCAUCAAGACGGGUUCACCGGUGGGGGCAGUGAUUGCCACGAUAGUGAAGAAACACUUUCCGUUCAAGAAGAAGAGAUGGUGGCAAUGAUUGCCAUAACAAUGAAUAAGCAUAAAAAAUCUUAUUACUUUUUCCAUUAUUUCUAGAAAGUGUGGGUUGUUGAGCAAAGAAAAAGUUGAGGAGGCAAAGAAAGAUAAAGAGAAUUAGCUUUCUUUGCUAGUUUAGUUCAGGCAGAGAUUGGAAUGGAGGAGUUGAUAUUGUAGGCAGUGAUUGCUACGGUGGAGGAGGCGCCGGUGGCAGUGGAAGUGGCAGUGUGAAUCUGGUUAGAUAUUAGAGUUAUAGGGUAGAUAAUGUCUUUUAUUUUUUUUCUCUCUCCUUAGACCUUAAUUCACGAGUUAGAUUAAUAGAAUUUAUGGUAAAUUUAAACGGAGGGAGUUGAUUGUUGAUGGAAUAAAAAUUUAAAGAGGCUUGAGUUAGUAUAUAAGUAUGGAGGGAGG
rnacentral:lncRNA from 1 species